GUUUUACCUUGACGAAUUGUAGUUUAAAGAAGUGUUUUCUGUUGAAGUUUUGGUAAAAGUUCUUUGGAAUAGGACAUCAUAGAGGGUGAGAAUCCCGUAUUUGACCAUUAUUUUCAGCUGUGUGAUACACUUUCAAAGAGUCGGAUUGUUCGGGAAUGCAGUCCAAAAUGGGUGGUAAAUUUCAUCUAAAGCUAAAUAUUGGCGAGAGACCGAUAGCGAACAAGUACCGUGAGGGAAAGAUGAAAAGAACUUUGAAAAGAGAGUUAAACAGUACGUGAAAUUGUCAAAAGGGAAGCGUUUGACACCAGUGUUGUUUUCUCGAAAUCAAUUAAAAAAAGUUGGAUUUUGUGUUGUAUUGACCUUAACAGCUUUCUGCACUCUUUUCCUGCUUUUUUU
rnacentral:rRNA from 1 species